AGUGAACGCUGGCGGUAGGCCUAACACAUGCAAGUCGAACGGCAGCACAGUAAGAGCUUGCUCUUACGGGUGGCGAGUGGCGGACGGGUGAGGAAUACAUCGGAAUCUACUUUUUCGUGGGGGAUAACGUAGGGAAACUUACGCUAAUACCGCAUACGACCUACGGGUGAAAGCAGGGGAUCUUCGGACCUUGCGCGAUUGAAUGAGCCGAUGUCGGAUUAGCUAGUUGGCGGGGUAAAGGCCCACCAAGGCGACGAUCCGUAGCUGGUCUGAGAGGAUGAUCAGCCACACUGGAACUGAGACACGGUCCAGACUCCUACGGGAGGCAGCAGUGGGGAAUAUUGGACAAUGGGCGCAGGCCUGAUCCAGCCAUACCGCGUGGGUGAAGAAGGCCUUCGGGUUGUAAAGCCCUUUUGUUGGGAAGGAAAAGCAGCAGGUUAAUACCCCGCUGUUCUGACGGUACCCAAAGAAUAAGCACCGGCUAACUUCGUG
rnacentral:rRNA from 1 species